ensembl:lincRNA
AGUCCCACUGGAACCACACAGGAAAGGGGGUGUUUGCCCCAAAAGUGAAGGAGGAGCUGUUGCAGAAAGACAGGGGCAGGGGGAGGAGGAGAUGGUGUGCUUGACAGCUAACAUCUAUCCUGCUUCACCAUGAUUAAUACGGUAAAACUGUGCCAAGGGAUGAUAACAUCGGCUCAAGCAAACUGCUUGGAUCUUGGAACGCUCAGCACAACAGGGAUCCUAAGUGAUAUCCCAGCUAUGAAACAUCAGGCAAAUACCUCGGCUUCCAAAAACUUUCAUUCUCACAGCUGAGAGUGAGGAUGACUAUACUUGCUUCUCAUGGUCGUUACGGGAUGGUGGACGGAAACCAACAUCCUGCCUGACACAAGGCAGACAUUCGGUGUAAAGACACAGCUCCCUCCUUUGCUCAUCUGUGAGCUCCUCCCAGACGAGAGACCUCGUUUUAUUCAUCUUUGAAUCACCAGCAGCUAGCACUGUACAUGAUCCACUCUAUGUGCUCAAUAAAUUGUUAUUUCAUGGACUGUUGAUCUGUUGUUUGGCCCCUGUGCCUUCCCUUUGGUUCUGGAAGAUAGGUAAGAAAAAGAAGGGAGCACGUGACAUCAAUUCUCUGACACCUACCAAUCCCAGCAGCUUGUAGGGGUGGUCUUCGUAUUGUAUCUUGUAUUUUUGCUAUGUCACAAAUACAAUGAUUUUGUCACACAUGAUCUGAUCUGUGUGCUUUCUCUGGAAAAGUCUUGCUGAGGAGGGAUGCCAUUUAAACACGUGAUCCUAUACUACGUUUGGAGAAUGUACUGUGGAACAGCUGUCUGGAUCCACUGGGCUCCCUGGCUUUAGGGACUCCUAAUGCUGCUUCAGACUUCAAAACUGUUGAGAGCACAAGACCACAGAGUGCCCACCCACAAGGAUAGACACACUAGUUCCGGCAUGUCUCCAGCGCUGUAGGGUUGAGCACCACACAAGACAUUCACCUUCCUUCCAAAGGGCUCUCUGCCCUCCAUAUCAUAGACAAGGGUCUUCACAAUCAGGCUCUAACUUGCCUUCCAGACUCAUUUCCUGUCUCCUUCCGUGCAACCUCUGCUCCAACAACACUGAGUCAACAGCUUUCCCCAAACACCCCAGGCUCUCUCACUCCUGCACAGCUUCACCCUCUGACUGAAUGUCAUCCUCCCUUGUCCUUUCUAUGGUGAAAUGAGAUUUGUCCUCCAGCUGCCACCUCUCCUCUAGAACCUUCCAUGACUUCCCCAGAACAGAGUAGGUUCCUUCCUCCUCUGUGCUCCUCUACUCUUUUGCACAGAUAUCCUACACAUCCAUUUCAGUGCAAUGGGUCUGUCUCCCCAGUAGAUGCUCAUAAUCUCUAGCAUUCAUUAAGCAUCUACCACAUGCCUGCUGCUCCAUGAACAUCUCAUUUAUUCCUCAUACCAGCUCAGCACUAGCUACCUGAACUGUAAAUGACAUGACUACAGGAGACCCUCUGAGUAUAUGUUUUAGGGUGUUGGGGCAGUUUUGCUUAUUUGUUGGGUUUUCUUUUUUUUUGCUUUGUUUUUGUUUUUGUUUCAUGUAUUUUGGAGACUUUGUUUUCUGAAUUUUUCCUUUCAGUCUUGUACCUCCAGAACCUAGCACUGGCACAUUGCAAGUGUUCAAUAAAACUUGUUGAAUGAAUAAAAGUUCAUUUUUUGUUUGGGGAAGUUGUUUUUUUGUUUUGUUUUGUUUUGUUUUGUUUUUUGUUUUUACUUAUGGAGACACUCAAAAGCAAAGACUGGAAUGAAUUGACCCAUGGCUCUCUGCCUGCAAUUAGCCUAUGUCUGGGGAGCAAGGGCCGUGCCCCAUUCAUCUUUGUUUCUCCAAUGGCAGGACUUUGUCUAAGUACAAAAUAAAAGCUUGAAGAAGGAAUAAAUGAUGGAAUAAAUAUGAUUACUGCAUAUCCUGGAGGAUUAUAACUUGGUGACAGGCAGUUGAAAAAAAAAGGUAGAGUAACAGCUGAAUUCUACUACAUGUCUGUAGAAACCAACUUUCUCAUUUAACCAAAAAAAAUGAUGUUAUUUGCCAUAAUGCUAGGAGAAAAGUCUAUUUUCCUAACUUU